GUGCUUGCUUCAGCAGUACAUAUACUAAAAUUGGAAUGACACAGAAAAGAUUAGCAAAGAUGCAAGGAUGUAUAAAGAUGACAUGCAAAUCUGCAAAGCAUUUCAUAUUUUU